rnacentral:rRNA from 1 species
AUUCCAGCUCCACAAGUGUAUUCCUAUAUUGUUGCGGUUAAAGAGCUCGUAGUUGGAUCUGAGUGCUUAGCGGGUGGUACAGUGUUUCACUGUCACUGCUUCGCGGCACAUAACCGUCGACUGGCUGCUGCUGUUGCCUUCACCGGUGACGGCAGUUAGCUAUCGACAUGUUUACUUUGAACAAAUCAGAGUGCUCAAAACAGGCGUUUCGUUUGUAUGUUUUUGCAUGGAAUAAUAGAAUAGGACCUUGGGUCUAUUUUGUUGGUUUUCGGAAUCAAGGUAAUGAUUAAGAGGGACAGACGGGGGCAUUCGUACUGCAACGGGAGAGGUGAAAUUCUUGGAUCGUUGCAAGACGAACUACUGCGAAAGCAUUUGCCAAGAAUGUUUUCAUUAAUCAAGAACGAAAGUAACGGGUUCGAAGGCGAUCAGAUACCGCCCUAGUCGUUACCGUAAACGAUUGUAACCGGGAGCUAGCAGGCGCUUUACUAUGGCUCUGCUAGAACCCACCCGGAAACGAAGAGUUUUCGAUACCCGGGGGAAGUAUACUUGCAAAUGUGAAACUUAAAGGAAUUGACGGAAGGGCACCACCAGGGGUGGAGCCUGCGGCUUAAUUUGACCCAACACGGGGAAACUCAUCCGGUCCGGACACCGUAAGGAUUGACAGAUUGAGAGCUCUUUCUUGAUUUGGUGGGCAGUGGUGCAUGGCCGUUCUUAGUUGGUGGAGUGAUUUGUCUGGUUUAUUCCGAUAACGAACGAGACUCUAGCCUACUAACUAGUUAUGCGAUCUUCUUGUCGUAUUAACUUCUUAGAGGGACAAGCGGUGCUCAGCCGCAUGAAAAAGAGCAAUAACAGGUCUGUGAUGCCCUUCGAUGUUCGGAGCUGCACGCGCGCUACACUGUAGAAUGCAACGUGCUAGCUUGCCUCGCUCGCAAGAGUGGGGUAAUCGGUUGAAAUUUCUACGUGAUUGGGAUAGGGACUUGUAAUUAUUUCCCUUGAACGAGGAAUCCCUAGUAAGUGCAGGUCAUCAGCUUGUGCUGAUUACGUCCCUGCCCUUUGUACACACCGCCCGUCGCUGCCCGGAACUGAGCCAUUUCGAGAAAAAUGGGGACUGAUUGCUUGUGAGCACGCAAGUGCUUCUUGCAGUCGGAAACCAUCU